rnacentral:snRNA from 1 species
UGAGCUUGCUCAGGCUGUACAGGAGCUAGAUUGGAAUGAUACAGGAACAUGAGCAUGGUUCCUGUGCAAGGACGACAUACAAAGGAGUGAAAUAUUCUACAUUAAA